GGCGGGCUGGCGUAAAGGCAACGCGUUAGUUUCCGGCGUAGUGGCUAAUUAAACCAGCUUCCUUAGCUAAAGAUUCCGGGUUCGAUCCCCGGGCCUGUCG